rnacentral:rRNA from 1 species
CUCCUGGAAACGGGUGGUAAUGCCGGAUGCUCCGCCCCCUCGCAUGGGGGGGUCGGGAAGGCUUUUGCGGAAUGGGAUGGGGUCGCGUCCUAUCAGCUUGUUGGCGGAGCGACGGCCCACCAAGGCUUCGACGGGUAGCCGGCCUGAGAGGGCGACCGGCCACAUUGGGACUGAGAUACGGCCCAGACUCCUACGGGAGGCAGCAGUGGGGAAUAUUGCACAAUGGGGGGAACCCUGAUGCAGCGACGCCGCGUGCGGGAUGGAGGCCUUCGGGUCGUGAACCGCUUUUGAUUGGGAGCAAGCGUGAGUGAGUGUACCUUUCGAAUAAGCACCGGCUAACUACGUGCCAGCAGCCGCGGUAAUACGUAGGGUGCAAGCGUUGUCCGGAAUCAUUGGGCGUAAAGGGCUCGUAGGCGGUUCGUCGCGUCCGGUGUGAAAGCCCAUCGCUUAACGGUGGGUCUGCGCCGGGUACGGGCGGGCUUGAGUGCGGCAGGGGAGGCUGGAAUUCCCGGUGUAACGGUGGAAUGUGUAGAUAUCGGGAAGAACACC